GGCUCCGCUCCUGGCUCGGCUGCUCUUCGCGGGAGCGCUCUGACAGCACCUGCAGGACAGCGCGGGCACUCGGAGCCGGGAAGGGGAAUAAGGUUCCCAUUUAUGAAUCUGCGGAUCCAGAAAGCUCUGGCUCUUGCUUUUGUAUCUGCUGUACUGAAUUUAAAAUUCUUGGGAAGAGUUAGAAUGAACAGAGACCUGCGAGACAGGCUUCUGAUCAAUCAUGUCACACCAAAAAAUAUUAAUAAAAAAUAGCAGUCAGACGGGAAGAGGCUCAGAGGAGGAAGUGCUGUGGGAAUGCUGAAGAAAAGGGGGGUUGACUCCAGUUUCAGAGCCUGGUUUGGAGAUUUCACUCUUCUGUCAUGACUGAACCCCCCAAACUCCCCUCAAAGCUACAGUGUGGUGAUUCCAAACUGGGAAAAGGCAAGCAAGUAGAAACUACUGUGAGAACACAGGUCCCUGCAUUUUUCUUGAUGUUUCAGAUCUCUAUUCACAUGACCACCCAGUGGGUUCAGCACCAAUGACCCACUGGAGGUGCAGCGUGAAUGAAACCGCACAGUCAGUCAAGUUUAGCUUCAGAAAUCACUGGGACCAUUACUGGAUCUUGGAGUUUGACUUGUCCUUCCCAGCUGUGUGCCACUCUUAGGAAAUACACUGAGGCAUUUCACGCCUGCUGUCACCCAAGAGCUCUUCCAUACAGCCUCAUUUGUCUUCAGGCAUCCCAGAACAUCUGGAGAGUCGCUGAUUUCAGCCAGCGUGCGGAACAGUCUCCAGUCUUGGCAUUCCUGCUCUCGUGGCUUUGGGGUGCUGCGGUGGCAAAGCAAGCAGGAAUCAGUGGACACAAACAGCCACAAACAGAUCAACUGGAGGCACAGAGCACUGAGGUAGGCGUGCUCACAAUUAACUGGUGAAUUUUAAUGGGAGCUGAGUCGCGGAUUCCCUCUGUGGCUUUGGAAUUGCCAACAAAAAAAAGUGUUUGGUUUAUUUGACAUUCAGUGCAGAACUACAUUUGGUAUCUCUGCUCAGGAACCUUGACCAUGGCUCAGAAGGCCCUUGCCCUGAGCAGGGAAACCACAGAAUGGGGUGAUCACUGCUCCAAGUGUAACUACCUAGUGAAAGAGUUUCCUUGAUGGCAUUGGUAGCAGCACGCAAAAGCACAAACCCAAUCUCCUUUGAAGGACAAUUUGUUUUUUACAGAUGUUGGAAAACGGAUUAGUUGUUUGUUGUUUGGAUUCCAUACAGGGGAGUGUCUGAUAACGAGUUGCUUUUUAUGCAAAGGAAGUCAAGAUGCUUCAUGUGAUUGCUUAGAGUCAGAAGAAAGCUGCAUUAACAGACCUUAGCAAGCCCUGUAAAAAGCACCUAAAGCCGCCCUUUUCUGGCACCUCCGGAAAGCAGUAUUUUACCUUGCUAACUGGCAAAAUGCCAUCUGAGCAGACCAGCUGAGGCAGGCAGACAAAUACCGUGGCUGGGUUCAUCGAAUGUGUUUGCUGAGGGCAAAUCUCCUGGAAGGCAGUGGAACAGAGGUGCUGCGUCCCGAGGUUCUGAGGCUGUCACCUGCUAAUUGGAUAGACUGUCUCUGCCUUAGUGCUGAUCAGAGUUAAUGCCCAAGAUCAAAAGAUAGCUCAAUGAAGAUAAAUUUGCAGCAUGAGGGAAUUUGCCAUGUGUUUAAGUUACUGAAAUACAGAAUAAGCAGGGCACUGGUAUUACAUAGGUGUGUGUAAGGGUAUUACAUAGGUGUGUGUGUCUGAACAGCUGGGCAUAGGGUUUAAAGAAAAAUUAAGUGUCCUAAUUUGUGUUUGAAGUUAUAAGCUCUUCCCAAUAUAUUAACACUCCUCCCUCAAAUUCUCUUGAAACUGUCCCACAUCCCUAGAACAUACUAUAGGAUUUUCUGAUUGCUGUGGAAUCUCUCCACCACCGUAAGAUAUUGUAAAACUGUUUAUAAGCUGUGGCAAAGCUGGUUCUGCAGGCAAUAUUCUGUGAUACAGGGAACUCCGACUGCAAAAAAACCCCAGAGGAACUCCUGCCACAGAGGUGUAGGAACGGGGAAGCACGGUGCUUGGGGUACUAUUCCUCCUUUUACAGUAGUCAGCAACGUUUUGCAAAUCCCUUUCUUGCUAUUCAGACACUUUGGGAUAUAAGGCAGGUGAAGGCUUUUGCAGCAGAGUGAAAUCUAACCUGGAAUCAUGGGGGAGCUUUAUUUAAACCAGGUGUAUGGACACACACAACUUCCUAUGCCGAAAAUCUCCCUUUUCACCCAUAUGCAAAGGAAGUUUUUCUCUAAAUUUGGAGCCAAUGCACUUUGCCUGCAUGUGCUACACCUUCAGGGCAUCAAACACUGAUCAGGCUGGGGGGGACUGGAACUUUCUGCUGCAGAACAUUCUGGUGGGGUGUAAGACAAUGAGGAAACUGAUUCUGCUGGGGAGGUCUGCACAAGUAGUGCUCACCAUCCUCUGAAGGGCAGAAGAAUGGUCAUGCAGAGGAUGAGAGCCACUGUUUGAGGUAGAUAGAGCCAAGCUGGGGUCCACCAGGAGCAUUCUGUGGUGUGUGUGUGUUCUGCUGCUUCAUUAACAACACUCGCUGUGCCUCCAGUGCUCUGAGCCUUGAUGUCCUGUGAGCGUGAUGAUGCUUUCAGUUUUUUGCUUCAUCUUCUUCGUCCUGGUCAGAGACACUGACCACAGUGUCACCCACCAUGGGCUGCCUCUGGUCCUGACCUGCUGUCAGCUGGCUCGUCACCUGCCCCAAGGCACCGACAUCUCACAUCCAAGGAAUCUCUUCACCCUCCGUGUCCUGUCCUGCACUUCCUGAAGAGCUGGAUCCAUCCAUGGCAGCGCUCAUGGCAGCUGACCACUGCCCUCCCUUCCCACAGCCUCGUGCCCCACCCUGCUGUGAUUCCAGCGAGGUCACAGCCCAUCCCUGAACCUUUGUCUACAUUGCUCUACUACAAAUUCAGGCCAUGGGAACUGUCCCCACGUGCCGUGGUCUCAGCCAUUCCUCCCGUGGGGUGCUCGGGGCAGCGCCCAGGGGACCUCGGAAGCUUUGCUGGGUCACAGGUGAUCCCACGAACAAGGGGGGAAAAAAGGAACUAUCACUUGUUCAGAGCCCUGUGCACAGGAUUUAUGAUAAUAAUCCAGACAAGUCCUGCAUGUUUUCUGCUCCAUUCUUUGGGUCAAGAGCACACUGGUUAAUAGCCAAUUAUUUCGUGCCCUAAGGAAAUGUUGGGAAAGAAGUUCCUGGGAAGAGUCAACUUGUUUUAGGAAAUGAGACUAAUAUUCACUUUCCAAAUUCUGAAGCCUGCUGAAAUUUUCCUUGACUGCCUAAGCCAGAAUGUGCAGUUCCAGCUGAGGUAUCUAAAGAUGGCAUUUAAUUUCCCUUUGAGAGCUUCAGGAUGAGUGUUCGAUGCUAAUGGUUGGAAUUCACUCCUGGGCAGAAAGCCAGCGUGCCACAGCCAUGUUCCAGAGAUGCCCUCCAAGCUGUGUUUAAGUGGCCUUCUGUUGCCCUUGGGGUAUGUUUUACACAGGAAACUUCCAGCCUAAUGCAGGCCUGCAGCUCACUUGCUGGAGCAAGAGGAAGAUGCCUUGCCCUCUCUCCUGUUCUCUCCAGCAAGAAAAUCAAAUUAUUGGAUUACAGGCCCUUCGAUUGUGCUCGGCGCAAAAUAGUUCCAAAUCCCGCUGCGCCGGGGACCUUUGAGAUGAGAUGUGAAUGGAUAAAGAAAACAAGUGUAUUAAAUUGGUCUGAUAUGUCAAUAGUGUGCUGUUACCUGAUGGAGUGAAAUGGCAGUGACUGCUCUUCUAAACAGCCUGCUGUAGGUAAGACAUCUGCUGCAAGACUGGACGCACAAAAAAAACCCCCAGCAAACCCAUAAACCAAAAAAGCUCACCCACAGGAGCCUACUAAAGGUAUAAAUUAAUGCAGAUUUUCUUUCCUUGUUUAUUUUUUAUUUCUGGAAAAGAAAAUCAAAGCAAACAGAUCGAUCUUGUGCAGGGUUAAAAUUGCAAUUACCCGGGGAUCUAUGCAGUACAUGAAAUACUGGGGCUAACAGAUUAGAACCUGACUGCUUUGUUCUACAUAUACCUUCAUAUGCAUUGGCUUGAACUUUGAAUUUCCUGCUUUCUGCCAUUUUUGGUACCUUCACAUGUGUUCUGUGCAUUUAUUUAGGGCUAAUUCCUAUUUGUUACAGCGUAUUUUUAAGGCGUGAUAUCAGCUAAGAGUGGGAGAAGCAUCUAAUGGAUUUUAAACUUCAUUACUGUUGUAAUUUUUGUGCAUAUUCACACAUACAUAUCACCAUCCAAAUGUCACUCAAUUGUGCAGAAUAAAUAGAUCCACAGGAAAGUGUAGGUGAGGUAAAUUUGUGCACAUUUCAAAGCAGAAAAAACUUCUUUAACAGCCAAGAAUUCGAUUCUUCCAUCUUAUACCAGGCUGGUUUCUCUACAAGUUUCUUGUUAAAGUUGUUAUCUUACUGUUCUUUUGUAUUUAUGUGUCCAUAGAGCAAUAAAUAGCUAUUGAAACACAGUUGUCACUGUCACUGUGUUUGAAUUUCUUUCACCCCACUGUGUCUGAAUUUCUUCCACCCCACAGUUUGGAUGAAUUCAGGGUAGCU